AAAGCUUCACUCUAAUCUUGGUGCACCUUC
rnacentral:piRNA from 1 species